GCUUGAUGGAAAGUCAUCUGUACAAGUCUCCUCUGCCCUCCAGCUUUGAAGGACUUCUCUACCAUUUAGCCCUGGCCUGCAGAACUCUACUGACUGGACCAUCCCUGCCUCCAUGUUCAGAAGGGGAUUUGGACAACCAUAAAUGCUCAGGUUAUAUGCAGUUGGGUUCAAGUGGUUAUUUUGUUAAGGGUUUGGUGUUAUCUGUUUCCCUUGCCGAGGUUUGCCCGGAGGAUAAAGUACCCAUAAAAGACAAUUACAGAGUGCCACUUUAAUUAAUAGCUGGUCCAGCACCCAGUAUCACACAGUGCAGGGCUUACUAUGCAGGGU
rnacentral:lncRNA from 1 species